AGUAGUUUCGAGAAAAACGAGUUUAAACUUUCAAGUGCAUUUCGCUCGAGGUCGCGCGCAUUUAAAGCAAGUACUAAUAUCUUUGUAUCUAUUUUUACAAUCGCCUUCCACAGAAAUACGCCUAAAACUAUAAAGAACAAUGAUCUGUAAAAAAACGAUUUUUUGAAAAUUCUGAAGCCCCUGCCUAAACUGACUAUACCAAAGAACAUUGUCACCUUGCGGAAACUCCAAUACAUCUCCUUGUCGAAAGCGAUGGCAUAGCGAUGAGAAGAAGUAGACAUCUUGGCCUGGUACGGCGAAAAGAAACGGACGUAUGUCCUUUGGGAGCAACAUUGCAGCAACACGGCGCAAACCCAAGAUAACUACAUUAACUACAAUGU